UUGGUUUGCUCAGGAUAAUCCUCCCUGCAGUGGGCCUAUGAAAACAGAUUAUCAGAGAUAAAAGAGCGCAGUGGAAAGGCAGACGGGUGGCGAUGGUGGGAGAUGAGAUGGAGGCGGCUGCUUUCUUUGAAAUUCAACUCUCACUUAGCCCCCUCCACUCCCAGCAAACGCUCUGUGCACACGGCCCGCUGCAUUGCCAUAGAAACCUUCCUUUUAAUCACAACAGAAACCUCAUUUCCUACCGCUGACAAAAGAGUCCUCAUUGCCUGCAGAGACCGCCUGCAUCAGCCAUAUCGAGGCCCGCCUCCUUCUGCAGGUCUCUGUGUCCCUCCCACCCCUCGAUCCCCCUGUGUGCGAGUCCCUCAUCUCAGCUUUGGUUGCUGUGCAGAUGGCUCUUUGUUGGUGCUUCACAAUGGGUCUAAGGUCAGGGUCGAAGCCCUUUUAUCGGCCCCCGCGGUUCGUGACGGGAUCCCAAAAUGGAGCCAGAAAGCAGAAAGAGUUCAUAACCCGAUGUGGACGGAGCAACUGGUUGAGGCUUUGGCUGGACCAUGGGAUCCAACCAACAGGGAGGGAGACAAUGCACAACCAUUUGGACUCAUUUGCAAGAGUGGCAGAAUCAGAGUGUAGAGAACGGUACACUUUGAUAUGUGUGAUCUCUUUGCACCCUGAAUCUGGGAAGCUUUGAUUUAUCUUUUGUGUGUUUUAUCUUAUCUUAAUUAUUAGAAAUCUUAUUCUUUCAUACUAAAUGUAUAUUGUUUGGGGUUUUAGUCUUACUUUUGUUGAAACAUUUGUUUGUAAAGGUAGUUUUGUUUCUCUACCCUUAUUCAGUUGAAUCCUUUAUGGCUGCUGCACUGACGUAAUAGCACCAAUGUAACUGUGAAAUGCGACCCCUGCAAUGUAAGCAUUUAAUAUUUUUGUAUAUACCCCCCUUUUACAUUGUUGGUAGAGUCAUUUAUUAAUUUACUUUUUAGUAUUAUUAUUAUUAUAGUCUUGCUGUUGUUUUCUUUUCUUUUCUUUCAACCUUGAAGACAUUAAAAAGGAAUAUUUCUUCAAACGCCAUUAUUUUUUUCAGUAAAAGCAUUGAAUAACUUUGUUAAUUUACAGAAAUGUUAUUAAAUAUGUGACUCCUGUCUAAGAAGUCACUUUAAAAAAACCUUUAAUUUGAAAACACAGAAUGACUUGUGGGGGUCUUGUGGCAGCACUAUUAGUGCACAUGUUGCCCUCAUGGCCCACAAUGACUUAAUCGUGUUAAUUAUAGAUCAAUAACUUUCUCAAUCGCGGUGCAUUUGAAGGAAAGCGUGCCACUGAGAAGUUAACCUCAUGUUGUCCUGUACUCUGCAGGACCUCAAAGGCUGAGAAAGCCAGGCAGACCAUGCAGGACACUGCUGUUCAAAACAAAAGAGCACAGUUUGCCCCCCCCC